rnacentral:ribozyme from 1 species
AGAGGUCAAGUUUAAGGCCAUAGCAGAAGUGUUCAGGCAUGGCCAAAUCAGAUCCUAAUGAAUCUGUAAAUUCUGCU